UACGAAGGGGGCGAGCGUUGUUCGGAUUUACUGGGCGUAAAGGGCGCGCAGGCGGCUCAUUUUGUCAGGCGUGAAAGCCCCGGGCUUAACCUGGGAACUGCGUUUGAAACUGGGAGACUUGAGUGUGGCAGAGGGGGGUGGAAUUCCACGUGUAGCAGUGAAAUGCGUAGAUAUGUGGAGGAACACCGAUGGCGAAGGCAGCCCCCUGGGUUAACACUGACGCUCAUGCACGAAAGCGUGGGGAGCAAACAGG
rnacentral:rRNA from 1 species